CAGAGGGAGAACAGGAUGCAUGGCUUGCUGGAAGAGCAGCAGGACCAAGGACAGCUCACUGCAGGCAGGACUGACCCCAGGAAAAGCUGCUGAAGAUCGGGUGCCUGGCUGGCUGGAAGAGCAGCAGGACCGUAGAUAGGUGCAAUCCCAGCUUCACUCAAGUUCAUGGCAAAACUCUCAUUGAUUUCAAUGGAGCCAGGAUUUCACUGGCCUCAAUGCAUCUCCAGGUCAUCCAGGAUCCUGUCAUUAUCAGAGAUCCACUUGCUUAGGUACAAAGCAACUAAACCACCAUUUCCCUAGAGAGCGUCAAGCCAUUCAGGAGUAGCAGCAGACAGGAAAUUGGUCUGUUCCCGAUGAACAUCAUCAUUAGUCUGUCUUGAGACUCAGGUGCAGACUGAAAGGCAGCUGCGGCUCCCAUCAGGGCCCAAACAAACAUUCAGUGAAACUUUCAA